GAUGAACGCUGGCGGCGUGCCUAAUACAUGCAAGUCGAGCGAACAGACGAGGAGCUUGCUCCUCUGACGUUAGCGGCGGACGGGUGAGUAACACGUGGAUAACCUACCUAUAAGACUGGGAUAACUUCGGGAAACCGGAGCUAAUACCGGAUAAUAUAUUGAACCGCAUGGUUCAAUAGUGAAAGACGGUUUUGCUGUCACUUAUAGAUGGAUCCGCGCCGCAUUAGCUAGUUGGUAAGGUAACGGCUUACCAAGGCAACGAUGCGUAGCCGACCUGAGAGGGUGAUCGGCCACCCUGGAGCUGAGACACGGUCCAGACUCCUACGGGAGGCAGCAGUAGGGAAUCUUCCGCAAUGGGCGAAAGCCUGACGGAGCAACGCCGCGUGAGUUAUGAAGGUCUUCGGAUCGUAAAACUCUGUUAUUAGGGAAGAACAAAUGUGUAAGUAACUAUGCACGUCUUGACGGUACCUAAUCAGAAAGCCACGGCUAACUACGUG
rnacentral:rRNA from 1 species